UACGUAGGUGGCAAGCGUUGUCCGGAUUUACUGGGCGUAAAGAGCGCGCAGGCGGUUGGAUAAGUCGAAUGUGAAAGCCCCCGGCUUAACCGGGGAGAGUCGUUGGGGACGGCGGAGCUUGAGGGCGGGAGAGGUCGGUGGAAUUCCACGUGUAGCAGUGAAAUGCGUAGAGAUGUGGAGGAACACCGAUGGCGAAGGCAGCCCCCUGGGUUAACACUGACGCUCAGGCACGAAAGCGUGGGGAGCAAACAGG
rnacentral:rRNA from 1 species